AUGAAGUCCCACCAGAGCAAGAGCGUCUCGUCUUCUCCGAAACGCUCCGCCGCCUUUGCCGCGCCGGUGGCCUUCCUGCUCGUCCUGGUGCUCGUCACGCUCUACGACUUGACCUUCGCCGACCGCCGUUACCUGCGCAUACAUGGCGCCGCUUCCUCGUCGUCGGCGUCUCCGGCAUGCGACCUCACGCGGGGCGAGUGGGUGCAGGACGCCGCGGAGGCGCCAUACUACACGAACCUGACGUGCCCCUUCAUCGACGACCACCAGAACUGCAUGAAGUUCGGCAAGCCGAGCCUCGAAUUCCUGCGCUGGAGGUGGCGGCCGGACGGCUGCGAGCUCCCCCGCUUCGACGCCGCGCGGUUCCUGGAGGCCAUGAGGGGCAAGUCCAUGGCCUUCGUCGGGGACUCCCUCGCCAGGAACCACUUCAAGUCCCUGCUCUGCCUCCUGUCCAGGGUGGCGCAGCCAGUGGAGGUCGGGGGUGAGUCGGAGAUCGACCCGACGGGGAGGGCCGUCCGGCGGGACUACUACUACGGCAGCCACGACUUCACCGCCUCCCUCUUCUGGUCGCCCUUCCUGGUCAAGGCCAACUUGUCGAACGCCACGCUCGGCAUGUGGGACGUGCACCUCGACACGCCGGACGCCCGGUGGGCGGCGCACCUCGCCGGCUUCGACCACGUCGUCCUGUCCGGCACCAACUGGUUCCUGCGCCCCUCGGUGUACUACAAGGGCGGGCGCGCCGUCGCGUGCAACGGCGGCGCGAGCUGCGUCAACGGGAACGUGACGGCCGAGAUGACCGUGCCCCGCGCCCUGCGCGCGGCGUUCCGGACGGCUCUCGGCGCCGUCGCCGCCAGCGAGGGGUUCCGCGGCAAGGCGGUGCUCCGGACGGUGACGCCCGCGCACUUCGAGGGCGGCGAGUGGAACACCGGCGGCGACUGCGUCCGCACGCACCCGUACCGCCGCGGCGACCGCGCCCUGGGCGCCUUCGAGGCCGAGUAUCGCAGCGCGCAGGUCGAGGCGCUGCGGGAGACGAAGGCGGCGGCGACGACGAGGAGGAACGGCGCGGAGGCGGAGCUGGUGCUGAUGGACAUCACGGAGGCGAUGGACCUGCGGCCGGACGGUCACCCGAGCCGGUACGGGCACCGGCCGGGCGGGAGCGUGGAGGGCAGCUUCGUGGUGGACUGCCUGCACUGGUGCCUGCCGGGGCCGAUCGACCUCUGGAGCGAGCUGCUGGCCCAGAUGCUCCUGGGUUGA
rnacentral:rRNA from 1 species